rnacentral:rRNA from 1 species
UACAGAGGGUGCAAGCGUUGUUCGGAAUUAUUGGGCGUAAAGGGCGCGUAGGCGGUGCGGUAAGUCUGCGGUGAAAUCUCCCGGCUCAACUGGGAGGCUGCCGUGGAAACUGCCGUGCUUGAGUGUGGGAGAGGAGAGUGGAAUUCCCAGUGUAGAGGUGAAAUUCGUAGAUAUUGGGAAGAACACCAGUGGCGAAGGCGGUUCUCUGGGACGGUACUGACGCUGAGACGCGAAAGCGUGGGGAGCGAACAGG